UUCAAAAUCCCGCUCACUCCCAAAAAAAAAAUUUUUGGUUACCCGCUCGUUACUCCCUCUUCUCGUCAUCUCCAUCGCGCGCCCUAAAUACCCCAAAUUUUGUACUUAAUUCUUUUUCCCUUUUAAUCUCAAAAUUCCAUGAGUUCCUUUACCCCAACAUCUCGACAAAUGGGUUUUCCGAUCUAUACCAAAAGACCACAGGGAUUGAUCUAUGGAAUUCCCAUUAUGAGAGAAUGAAAGAAAAUUACAGGAGGUUGAAGGAGAUAAACAAGAAGCUGAGAAGGGAGAUUAGGUUGAGCUAGAAAAACAUUCAAGGGGACUUUUAAUGCCUGUUUGAGGAGCUGUUACCUUUCCGGUGCCUUUUUGGUCUGACUUUAAAAAGAAAAGAACCGAUAUCUUUGAGACAUUUUUCUUGUUUUUACUGAUGUGAUGCGGUAAAAGCUGCAAUGCGUGUUAUUGAGGCUUCUGUAAGGAUAUACUAUUCUGAAGUCUGUCUCAAAGCUGUUCAACAAACAAACCUUCUGCGUUUCUGUAUUAUGUUUUUCUUCCAAGCUGACAGCCUGGUCAAUGUUACUUAUCUGCUAUAUAAUUGUGCAUUUGCCUGUGCUAUUUGAUAGUUAAAUGGUGCAGUAUUUCAUACUACCUGCGCAGUUGUUUUGUUUUGUUUUUACAUAUAUCAUGGUUCUGUUAUGGAAUGUAUGUCUUUUGUAGUGGGUAGCGUUUCCAUAAAAAAUCAUGUUUACGCUGUUAAAGGAGUUGUGAAAUGGUCUGAAUGUAGUUUAGUUGCUAAUCUAAUAUAUUUCUUCAUAGGCUUGCUGAGAACAUCCAAGAUGCUUAUGGUGAGGCAGCUAGCAUUGCUGAAUAGUUGCAUUGUUUAACACCAAAACCCAUAUUUUACGGGUUUUUCAAAGAAGAAAAAUGCUCAGAAUAGAUGGUCUCUGCAAAAAGAUGGGCUACAAGGAUGCCAAGUUACUGAUGCUUUACGGGCUCUGAUAGCCAAUGGCGUUGAGGCGGGAACUAUCCAGUGUGGGCGUCCAAAGGAACAGAAGUUCUGGAUCUCGUUUGCGUAUCGUGAUUCUUUUUUUCUUCUCAAUUCUGACGCUCAUUGCUUUGAGUUCAUUACAAUUCUGCUGCUUUCAGUUUCACGCUCAUUGCUUUGAGUUCAUUACAAGAUUUCCUUGAUUAAAUAAAUGUAUUAUAUAUUUUAUUACCAAGAUUUACUUGAUUAAGAAAAUGCAUUGUAUGUUUUAUUA